AGGUCUUGCCUGAUGAAAGGCUCCCAGACAGCCAGAUGGUGAAUAAACUGGAGUCUGGAGUCAUGUGAAGAGUGCUUCCAUCAGCCUGUGGUGUAAAGGAUGAUGUCCAGUGCUGACUUGUGAACAUACAAAUGCCAAAAGUCACAGCUGAGACAGAUUGAUGGUUCAUUUGAUGACAGACUGGUGAAGAAUGGUGGCAGCCAAACAUCAAUGGCACAAGAUUAGGAAAAACCCUCAAGGAUCUGUUUGUCUGUGAUGGACUGGUGACCUGUCAAGGCUGUACCCUGCCUUUCGCCCAAUAACCGCUGGAGAUAGGCGCCAACCCCCCUGCGACCAUGCACGGAUACGUAGGUAUGGACAAUGGAUGGAUGGAUGGAUCUGUUUGUCCUGUGUCUGGAUCCAUUUGAACAUUACAUAUGGAUGGAAGAUAGUUGCAAAGGGGGAGGGGGAGAUGUAUUGAGACAGACUGGCAGCUUGUAUUAAUGUGUUUUCCAAGUGCACUCUCUUCAGCAACUCGAUGAAAUUUACUCCUUGUAGUGACAAUGUUCUUAUUUAUCCGUGUUCACCGUAUCCACACUCUUGGUGAUUGGGAACAUUGUUGGCAUUCAGCGUUUUUCUGUUUCUUCAUUAUCUGAAACUGAAACAUCAUUACUUGCCUUGCUGCCCUAAUAAUCACAGGCUUGGCAAAAGCACUCAUAGACGCUCGGUUGUUUUAUAAAAGCAUUCACGUUAUUGAUAGGUUCCCUAAUGUAGUAAGGGACAGCCGAGAUGAUGUGUGCACUCACCUCGGAAUUUAAAUCAGGCUUCAGUUUGUGAGUAAUUGCUUUGUCUGAUUCAUACCAGCGUCAUACAUUUGUCUGAUGUGAGUGAAAUGCAGUCAGUUUAGCCCGGCUUAUUUCAGCAGUCUGCUGCAGUCUGAACGUCUGCACUGCUCGUUUCUCUAGGUGCUCGUCUUUAGAUGUUUAUCGCUGAUCUCCUGGGUUUGUUGGCAAGGACUAAAACUGUCUUUUAAACGUUUUGCUCAUUCAUGCAUACGUCUUAGGAUUUAUGCAUGUGAAACAUACACCAUUGAU